rnacentral:lncRNA from 1 species
UGAGGUUAUAUCUGUUAGUCUAGAGGUGUUACUUUGACCUAAGGGGAGAUGGGGAAUUAAGUUAGUUCCCAAAAUUUUCUCAAUUCGACAAGUUGCGGGGGAGAAAUCAUGAUAAGUCUAUUCUUACUCAAGUAUACUCCUCCUACUUCCAUUUCAGAGAUUAUUCCGCUAAUGUCUUAUGUCAUAUGUUCAAGUUAUGCCUGUGCCUAUGAUUCGAGUUUCCCAUGGACUUAUGUCUAUGAUAUGACCUCCAAACUAGAAGCAAUUAUGUCUCUCAAUAAUUCAGUCUUUCAUGUAUCCAGACCAUAUGUUAUGUUGUUCAUGAUCCAUUAAAAUCCCAUCUCUUUCCCGCAUUUUGUCUUGAUAUAUGCACCAAUAUUUCUC